rnacentral:SRP_RNA from 1 species
UCGUGCUAGACGGGGAACUAGCGGUGCCCUAUACCCGCAAACCGCUACAGCGGGGUUGAAUUCCUGCCCGCGGUCUGGCCGUUUGAGCAUGUACUUUGGAAAGUGGCGUUGAUAGUCGGGCCCUGCGCAAUGCCCGGCGCGUGAACCCCGUCAGGUCCGGGAGGAAGCAGCGGUAAGCGCGUUCGCACAUGUGCCGCAUGGUGAUCUGGCUGGAGUUAACUACCAGGGCAACGCUUGGGCGACCUUAUCAGAGGUGGGUGCACGA